AGCAGUAGCCGCGGUAAUACGAAGGGGGCUAGCGUUGUUCGGAAUUACUGGGCGUAAAGCGCGUGUAGGCGGGCUUUUAAGUCAGAGGUGAAAAGCCAAGGCUCAACCUUGGAACUGCCUUUGAUACUGGAAGUCUUGAGUCCGGGAGAGGUGAGUGGAACUGCGAGUGUAGAGGUGAAAUUCGUAGAUAUUCGGAAGAACACCAGUGGCGAAGGCGACACACUGGCUCAUUACUGACGCUGAGGCGCGAAAGCGUGGGGAGCAAACAGGAUUAGAUACCCGGGUAGUCCCUGUCUCUUAUAC
rnacentral:rRNA from 1 species